rnacentral:snoRNA from 1 species
AUGCCCUGUGAUUAUAAAAAGACGCGUUAUUCUGAGGAGCAUACCUGCUCUCUGUCUCUGCUACUCUCCCAUCUUCUUCUUUGUUUAUUCUUUCUUCACUCUUCCUCUUUUAUUUUCUUUUCUUUUACAUCCUUAUCCUUCUGCCUCUUGCAGCAGGUCCGCUGACUGCAAUUUUGAGAUAUGAGGGCAU